AACGGGAAGGCACAUCAAUGGU
rnacentral:siRNA from 1 species